UCUUUCAAUGCUGACAUUAAAAUAAUAGUUAUUUACUGUUUAAACAUUAUGAAAAUUGAAGCUUAUGUGUUCUUAUUGUACUUUAUAUCGUUUAUAACAGGUACACUUUAUACCGUCAGCUUCAUUCCCUUAAUAGCAGAGUUUUCAUAUGUGAGGUAAUCUUGCUUAUGCUGGGAGUGAAGGCAGUGAGUAUGACCGCUUGAUAUGAGAGACACAUCCUGUAUUUCAAGGUGGAUCAUGAGUGAAGCUCUGCAGGUCGGCCAUUGACUUGAUAACAGUUGUUUAUGUUUAUUCAAUUUAAGAAUAAAUCUCUCGCCAACCAUUCACCUAUUUACUGACAAAACAGAUCCAAAUCUUGUUCGGCCUGAUGCUCAACCUAUGAUGAUGACCACUGCAAGGUGAUGGGAAUCUGUGGUAAUCACAG